GAAAACUAGGGGAGCAAAUGAGAUUAGAGACCUUAGUAGUCCUAGCCGUAAACGAUGGAUACUAGGUGUUGUGCAACUCGACCCAUGCAACGUUGUAACUAAUGCGUUAAGUAUCCUGCC
rnacentral:rRNA from 1 species